CAAGGAAGGCAGCAGGCGCGCAAAUUACCCACUCCCGGCACGGGGAGGUAGUGACGAAAAAUAACGAUACGGGACUCAUCCGAGGCCCCGUAAUCGGAAUGAGUACACUCUAAACCCUUUAACGAGGAUCAAUUGGAGGGCAAGUCUGGUGCCAGCAGCCGCGGUAAUUCCAGCUCCAAUAGCGUAUAUUAAAGUUGUUGCGGUUAAAAAGCUCGUAGUCGAAUCUGUGUCCCGCGCCGCCGGUUCAUCGCUCGCGGUGUUUAACUGGCGUGCCGCGAGACGUCCUGCCGGUGGGCUUAGCUCGUUCGCGGGCGGCCCAACUUCAAAUCCCACCGCGGUGCUCUUGACUGAGUGUCGAGGUGGGCCGGCACGUUUACUUUGAACAAAUUAGAGUGCUUAAAGCAGGCUAAAACUUCGCCUGAAUACUGUGUGCAUGGAAUAAUGGAAUAGGACCUCGGUUCUAUUUUGUUGGUUUUCGGAACCCCGAGGUAAUGAUUAAUAGGAACGGAUGGGGGCAUUCGUAUUGCGACGUUAGAGGUGAAAUUCUUGGAUCGUCGCAAGACGGACAGAAGCGAAAGCAUUUGCCAAAAACGCUUUCAUUGAUCAAGAACGAAAGUUAGAGGUUCGAAGGCGAUCAGAUACCGCCCUAGUUCUAACCAUAAACGAUGCCAGCUAGCGAUCCGCCGACGUUCCUCCGAUGACUCGGCGGGCAGCUUCCGGGAAACCAAAGCUUUUGGGUUCCGGGGGAAGUAUGGUUGCAAAGCUGAAACUUAAAGGAAUUGACGGAAGGGCACCACCAGGAGUGGAGCCUGCGGCUUAAUUUGACUCAACACGGGAAACCUCACCAGGCCCGGACACCGGAAGGAUUGACAGAUUGAGAGCUCUUUCUUGAUUCGGUGGGUGGUGGUGCAUGGCCGUUCUUAGUUGGUGGAGCGAUUUGUCUGGUUAAUUCCGAUAACGAACGAGACUCUAGCCUGCUAACUAGGCGUAUUUUCGACAUCUCAAAGGCCCGCCGGCCCGGCGUAUUCGCGUCGCGGUUGGGCGCGGUUUUUACUGUCGGCGUACAAUCAAUUCUUCUUAGAGGGACAGGCGGCUUCUAGCCGCACGAGAUUGAGCAAUAACAGGUCUGUGAUGCCCUUAGAUGUUCUGGGCCGCACGCGCGCUACACUGAAGGAAUCAGCGUGUCCUCCCUGGCCGAGAGGCCCGGGUAACCCGCUGAACCUCCUUCGUGCUAGGGAUUGGGGCUUGCAAUUGUUCCCCAUGAACGAGGAAUUCCCAGUAAGCGCGAGUCAUAAGCUCGCGUUGAUUACGUCCCUGCCCUUUGUNCACACCGCCCGUCGCUACUACCGAUUGAAUGAUUUAGUGAGGUNUNNGGACCGGUACGCGGCNGCGCUCCGCGUCGCCGAU
rnacentral:rRNA from 1 species